ensembl:lncRNA
UAGAUUAUUGAUAAAUUUAAAGAAUAAAUGACGGAUGCACGGAUGGCGAUUCACUGGACCGCACUCUUUUACUCUGAGCACCAAACACAUAGUUCGCUAUCCAAACACAGCUCUCAGAUAAAACGUCUUUGUCAAAAACAGCCCUAAACAAUUUCAACAUCUUCCAUUAACGUUCAGUUCAAAUUUAAGUCCAUGUUAAAAUUCCGGUGCAUGGUAGCCACGGAAACAAAUGUGCAGGAAUAAACAGGAAAUUAAGAAAAAGAUUGACUUGGUUUCUGACCAAUCGGAGCUAACAAUGCCGUAUAAUUGGAAUUGGUGUCGCAGACUCGACAUCUCAUUGGUUAUCGCAACUGACCGUGUUCUUCACGUACAGAGCACAGCAGCGUGCUCUGCCGAUUCUCAAUGCGUCGGGCACAUUUCAUUGAGCCUGCUGAAAUAUAUUUGGAUAAAACUUUACCAUAAUAUGCGACAGUUGGAGCGGCGAAACCAAGCGGAUACAUGACACGAAGAAAACGGGGGACAACAAAUUCUGACUAUGUUUAGGCUAGCAGAGAACGCUUAGCUGCCUCUGAUGGACGGCCGCCACUGCGGGCAGUAAUGGAAGAGCUCCUGGCCGUUGUUCGACGCCUGCGUCUCCCUUGCGUUCUCACGCACGUCCGUGCACGUGCGUCAAAACCAUGGUAACCGGCGCUGACUUAAUAAAAGAAGGGCAGCCAAGCGACUUUACACAUUUGUCUCAGGACUCGGAGACAUUGGCAGCAAAAACAACAAGCUUGAAACAUUUUGGUUAUUUUGCAGCAGCAAUGGAGCGCCAUUUGCCGUGGGCCAUUUGGAAGCUCUGGAGACGUUUUAAACGUUGGAGACGCCGACGGAGACAGCGGUGGCAGCCGGUGGCGGAAGUUGCUGUGCUUGGUCGUCCACCUAGACCUCCACCUAGACGUCGGCGGCCUCGCUUUGACCCACCUACUUCCCACGUUGAGGAAGUUGUCCCCCCCACCUCUGACAUUCAGGUACCUCACUUGGACUCACCCCCUUCUUACUGUGAGGUUCCACCAAGCUGGGGGGAAACACCACUUCCUCUUUACUGUGAGCUUUUUCCUUCUUCUUCUCCUCCACACUCUCCCCUUCCUUCUGGCUCUUUUGCUCCUUCUCUUUCUCCUCCAGGCUCUCCUGUUCCUUCUGGCUCUUUUGCUCCUUCUCUUUCUCCUCCAGGCUCUCCUGUUCCUUCUGGCUCUUUUGCACUUUCUCUUUCUCCUCCAGGCUCUCCUGUUCCUUCUGGCUCUUUUGCUCCUUCUCUUUCUCCUCCAGGCUCUCCCCUUCCUUCUGGCUCUUUUGCUCCUUCUCUUUCUCCUCCAGGCUCUCCCCUUCCUCCUUCUUCUUCUUCUUUCCUUCCACACCCCCUCCUCCUUAUUCUCUUGUUCCUUCUUGCACUCCUGCUCCUUCGCUUUCUCCUCCAGGCUCUCCUGUUUCUUCUUCUUUUCCACCUUCACCUCCUCCUCCUUCCCCUCUGGUUCCACCUAUUGUGGCUCUUUCUGAGCUGCCCUGUGUUCCGGAUGCUGGCCUGUCCCUGUCUCCUGUUAUUCAGGACUCAGGCUCUGUAG